rnacentral:rRNA from 1 species
GACGAACGCUGGCGGCGUGCUUAACACAUGCAAGUCGAGCGAUGAAGUUCCUUCGGGAAUGGAUUAGCGGCGGACGGGUGAGUAACACGUGGGUAACCUGCCUCAUAGAGGGGAAUAGCCUUUCGAAAGGAAGAUUAAUACCGCAUAAGAUUGUAGUAUCGCAUGAUACAGCAAUUAAAGGAGUAAUCCGCUAUGAGAUGGACCCGCGUCGCAUUAGGUAGUUGGUGAGGUAACGGCUCACCAAGGCGACGAUGCGUAGCCGACCUGAGAGGGUGAUCGGCCACAUUGGGACUGAGGCACGGCCCAGACUCCUACGGGAGGCAGCAGUGGGGAAUAUUGCACAAUGGGGGAAACCCUGAUGCAGCAACGCCGCGUGAGUGAUGACGGUCUUCGGAUUGUAAAACUCUGUCUUCAGGGACGAUAAUGACGGUACCUGAGGAGGAAGCCACGGCUAACUACGUGCCAGCAGCCGCAGUAA